rnacentral:rRNA from 1 species
GGUUAAGCGACUAAGCGUACACGGUGGAUGCCCUGGCAGUCAGAGGCGAUGAAGGACGUGCUAAUCUGCGAUAAGCGUCGGUGAGGUGAUAUGAACCGUUAUAACCGGCGAUUUCCGAAUGGGGAAACCCAGUGUGUUUCGACACACUAUCAUUAACUGAAUCCAUAGGUUAAUGAGGCGAACCGGGGGAACUGAAACAUCUAAGUACCCCGAGGAAAAGAAAUCAACCGAGAUUCCCCCAGUAGCGGCGAGCGAACGGGGAGGAGCCCAGAGCCUGAAUCAGUGUGUGUGUUAGUGGAAGCGUCUGGAAAGGCGUGCGAUACAGGGUGACAGCCCCGUACACAAAAAUGCACAUAUUGUGAGCUCGAUGAGUAGGGCGGGACACGUGGUAUCCUGUCUGAAUAUGGGGGGACCAUCCUCCAAGGCUAAAUACUCCUGACUGACCGAUAGUGAACCAGUACCGUGAGGGAAAGGCGAAAAGAACCCCGGCGAGGGGAGUGAAAAAGAACCUGAAACCGUGUACGUACAAGCAGUGGGAGCCUCUUAAUGGGGUGACUGCGUACCUUUUGUAUAAUGGGUCAGCGACUUAUAUUCUGUAGCAAGGUUAACCGAAUAGGGGAGCCGAAGGGAAACCGAGUCUUAACUGGGCGUUAAGUUGCAGGGUAUAGACCCGAAACCCGGUGAUCUAGCCAUGGGCAGGUUGAAGGUUGGGUAACACUAACUGGAGGACCGAACCGACUAAUGUUGAAAAAUUAGCGGAUGACUUGUGGCUGGGGGUGAAAGGCCAAUCAAACCGGGAGAUAGCUGGUUCUCCCCGAAAGCUAUUUAGGUAGCGCCUCGUGAAUUCAUCUCCGGGGGUAGAGCACUGUUUCGGCAAGGGGGUCAUCCCGACUUACCAACCCGAUGCAAACUGCGAAUACCGGAGAAUGUUAUCACGGGAGACACACGGCGGGUGCUAACGUCCGUCGUGAAGAGGGAAACAACCCAGACCGCCAGCUAAGGUCCCAAAGUCAUGGUUAAGUGGGAAACGAUGUGGGAAGGCCCAGACAGCCAGGAUGUUGGCUUAGAAGCAGCCAUCAUUUAAAGAAAGCGUAAUAGCUCACUGGUCGAGUCGGCCUGCGCGGAAGAUGUAACGGGGCUAAACCAUGCACCGAAGCUGCGGCAGCGACACUAUGUGUUGUUGGGUAGGGGAGCGUUCUGUAAGCCUGUGAAGGUGGCCUGUGAGGGUUGCUGGAGGUAUCAGAAGUGCGAAUGCUGACAUAAGUAACGAUAAAGCGGGUGAAAAGCCCGCUCGCCGGAAGACCAAGGGUUCCUGUCCAACGUUAAUCGGGGCAGGGUGAGUCGACCCCUAAGGCGAGGCCGAAAGGCGUAGUCGAUGGGAAACAGGUUAAUAUUCCUGUACUUGGUGUUACUGCGAAGGGGGGACGGAGAAGGCUAUGUUGGCCGGGCGACGGUUGUCCCGGUUUAAGCGUGUAGGCUGGUUUUCCAGGCAAAUCCGGAAAACCAAGGCUGAGGCGUGAUGACGAGGCACUACGGUGCUGAAGYGACAAAUGCCCUGCUUCCAGGAAAAGCCUCUAAGCAUCAGGUAACAUCAAAUCGUACCCMAAACCGACACAGGUGGUCAGGUAGAGAAUACCAAGGCGCUUGAGAGAACUCGGGUGAAGGAACUAGGCAAAAUGGUGCCGUAACUUCGGGAGAAGGCACGCUGAUAUGUAGGUGAAGCGACUUGCUCGUGGAGCUGAAAUCAGUCGAAGAUACCAGCUGGCUGCAACUGUUUAUUAAAAACACAGCACUGUGCAAACACGAAAGUGGACGUAUACGGUGUGACGCCUGCCCGGUGCCGGAAGGUUAAUUGAUGGGGUUAGCGGYAACGCGAAGCUCUUGAUCGAAGCCCCGGUAAACGGCGGCCGUAACUAUAACGGUCCUAAGGUAGCGAAAUUCCUUGUCGGGUAAGUUCCGACCUGCACGAAUGGCGUAAUGAUGGCCAGGCUGUCUCCACCCGAGACUCAGUGAAAUUGAACUCGCUGUGAAGAUGCAGUGUACCCGCGGCAAGACGGAAAGACCCCGUGAACCUUUACUAUAGCUUGACACUGAACAUUGAGCCUUGAUGUGUAGGAUAGGUGGGAGGCUUUGAAGUGUGGACGCCAGUCUGCAUGGAGCCGACCUUGAAAUACCACCCUUUAAUGUUUGAUGUUCUAACGUUGGCCCGUAAUCCGGGUUGCGGACAGUGUCUGGUGGGUAGUUUGACUGGGGCGGUCUCCUCCUAAAGAGUAACGGAGGAGCACGAAGGUUGGCUAAUCCUGGUCGGACAUCAGGAGGUUAGUGCAAUGGCAUAAGCCAGCUUGACUGCGAGCGUGACGGCGCGAGCAGGUGCGAAAGCAGGUCAUAGUGAUCCGGUGGUUCUGAAUGGAAGGGCCAUCGCUCAACGGAUAAAAGGUACUCCGGGGAUAACAGGCUGAUACCGCCCAAGAGUUCAUAUCGACGGCGGUGUUUGGCACCUCGAUGUCGGCUCAUCACAUCCUGGGGCUGAAGUAGGUCCCAAGGGUAUGGCUGUUCGCCAUUUAAAGUGGUACGCGAGCUGGGUUUAGAACGUCGUGAGACAGUUCGGUCCCUAUCUGCCGUGGGCGCUGGAGAACUGAGGGGGGCUGCUCCUAGUACGAGAGGACCGGAGUGGACGCAUCACUGGUGUUCGGGUUGUCAUGCCAAUGGCACUGCCCGGUAGCUAAAUGCGGAAGAGAUAAGUGCUGAAAGCAUCUAAGCACGAAACUUGCCCCGAGAUGAGUUCUCCCUGACUCCUUGAGGGUCCUGAAGGAACGUUGAAGACGACGACGUUGAUAGGCCGGGUGUGUAAGCGCAGCGAUGCGUUGAGCUAACCGGUACUAAUGAACCGUGAGGCUUAACCUU